AAAUAAAAAAAAAUAAUUUUUGGUAAAAAAUUAGGUAUUUAUAAAUUAGGAAGGGCGUAAUUAUUAUACGAAAUUUUUAAUAAGUUAAUUAAACAUUAAUUUAAAAAUACCCUAAUAUGUUAACAUUUUUAAACUAUUACAAAAUAAAUAUGUCAAUAAGAAUAAACUUAGAAAAUUGAAAUAUCUUAAUAUCUUAAGGAAAAUAAAAUUAAAAAUUAUGAUUCUCAAAAUAUUAAAGAAAGAAAUGAGAAUAAACCCAAUUUUAAAAAUAAGUAAUUUACUUUUUAUUAAUAAAAAGUAAAUUACCUAAGAUGGUAUUAGUCCAGUCAUUAAUAAAUAUUUAAAUAGUAUAAACAAAAAAUUAUUAAAUAAAUAAAGAGAUUCACCUCAGUGGGUUAAAUAUAUUAUAAAUAACCAAUAGUGUACAUAAGUACUGUGAAGGAAAAUUGAAAAGAAUCAAAUUUAAAUUUAUGAAGUGAAAUAGAAAUAAAAAAAAAAACCAUAAAUAUAUUUUAUUGUAUAAUUUUUUCAUAAAAAAAAAUAAAAUGCAUACCUGUUGAAGAAUGAGUCCUCGACUUAUAAAUAUUGGCUAUCGAAAAAAAAAUAAACUUAUUUUAAUAUCAAAGUGAGAACACUAUAAUAUAUAUUGUCAUUUUUUAUAUACUCGAAACUGAGUGAUCUAAUUAUGUGUAAGAUACAUAUAUAUUUAUUAUAAUAUAUAUUGGUCUGUACCAGUUAAUUAUGCAAAAUUAUUGGAUAAAAUGUGAUUAGUGGUGAAAUAUUAAUCGAACUCAGAAAUAUCUGGUUCCCCCCGAAAUGUAUUGUUGUACAGCAAUUAUUUUAUUUAAUAAAAGGGUAAAGAUCUAUUUUGAAUAUGUUAAUAUUUUAAAUAAAAAAUAUUAAACUAAAUUAAGAUAAACUAAUAAUAUUUUAAUUAUAAUUUAGUAAGUGAGACAUUGGGGGAAAAGCUUCAUUGUCAAGAGGGAAACAGCCCUUAUUUUUAAUUAAGGUUCUAAAAUUAUUAGUUAUUUAUUAAGAGAGUAAAUAAUUAAAAACAUAUAAUAGGUUUGCUUAGAAGCAGCCAACCUUUAAAAAAAGCAUAAUUGCGUAUUAUAAAAUUUUUUUUACAUCAAAAAUUAUAAGGAUUUAACUUUUAUACCGAAAUUAAAAAAAUAUAUUUUUAUAUAUUUGGUAGGGGGGCGUUCUAAGAUAUUUAUUUAAAUUAGAAGUGAUAAUGAGGAUUUAAAUAAUAUUAUAUUGAAAAUUCAAUCAAUACUCUGAAAUACUAAUGAUUUCAAAAUAUUAUAUGAGUAAGUCAGAAUCUAAAAUAAUUUCGAAAGAAAAAAUUGAUGAAAAAUAGGUUAAAAUUCCUAUACUAUAAAAAAAAUUAAAUAAUAUUAUACAAAAAAUGGUAUUUUUGUUUAAAAAAAUUAAAUAUAUAAUAGAAUUUAUAGAGAAAAUAUAAAUAAUUAAAAUUUUAUUAAUUAUGUAUAUUUUAAUUAUACAAAAAUAAUAUUUAAAUAAUUUUCAAGAAAUAUAAAAAUUAAAAUUUUUUUUUUUAAAAUAUCUGUACAUAAUACCAAAUAUAGGUAAUUAAGUAAAAAAUACUAAAGAGUUCGAAAUAAUUAAAUCUAAGGAACUCGGCAAAAAAAUUCUUUUAUUUAUAUAAAGAACAUCUUUUUUACUUUAUUAUUUAUUAAAUUUUUUAAAUUUAAUAAAUAAUAAAGUAAAAAAGAUCUCAGUAACAAAGUUCAAGCGACUGUUUAACAAAAACACAAGUUCUCGCAAAAUUGUAAAAUUGUGUAGGGGAGCUGACGUCUGCCCGGUGCUGUAAAAUAAAAAAUUUUUAAUAUUUUGUUAUUAUAAAAAUAUUAAAAACAAAAUUCCAGUUAACGGCGGCUGUAACUAUAACGGUCCUAAGGUAGCGAAAUUCCUUGUCGGGUAAGUUCCGACCUGCAUGAAAGACGUAACGACUUGAAAACUGUCUCAGAUUUAAAUUCGAUAAAAUAACUUUUUCUGUGAAGAUGCGGAAUAUUUUUACCUGGACAGAAAGACCCUAUGAAACUUUACUGUUUUUUUAAAUUGAUUUUUUAUUAUUAAUUGUAUAGUAAUUAAGUGGUAGAUAUUUUUUUUAUCGUUUAUUGGAAUCCCACUCUUUAAUAAAAUAAAUAAACUAAUUUUAUAAUUUUAUUUUAAAAAUUAUUUUUUAAAAGACAGUUUAUGAUAGACAGUUUAUAUGGGGCAUAGGCCUCCAAAAGAGUAAUGGGGGUGUUUUUUGUUAUAUUGAAUCAUAUUUUUAUUGUUUUAUUAAAGUAUAAAGAUAAAAUAUAGCUUAAUUGUAAGACAAACAUGUCAAACAAAAACGAAAGUUUAUCUUAAUGAUUUGAUAUUUAAUUAUUGUGAAAAAUUUAUCAAUCAACGAAUUAAAGUUACUCUAGGGAUAACAGGCUUAUCAUACCCGAAAGUCCACAUUAACGGUAUGGUUUGGCACCUCGAUGUCGGUUCAUCACUACCUAAAGCAGUAGUAUGUUUUAAGGGUUAGGUUGUUCACCUAUUAAAGUGGUACGUGAGCUGGGUUCAGAACGUCGUGAGACAGUUCGGUCCUUAUCCGGUAAAAUUAGAAUAUUUAGGAUAUUUUUCUUUAAUACGAGAGGACCAAGAAAAAUAUAUUACUAGUGUUUUAUUUAUUGAACCUUCAGUAUUGUUAAAUAGCUACAUAUAUUACAUAAAAAUUGCUGAAAGAAUCUAAGUAAUAAAAAAAAUCUAAAUAAAAAUAUAUUCA
rnacentral:rRNA from 1 species